UACGUAGGGGGCGAGCGUUAUCCGGAUUUACUGGGCGUAAAGCGCGUGUAGGUGGUUGCGUAAGUUAGUUGUGAAAUCUCCCGGCUCAACCGGGAAACUGCUGCUAAUACUGCGCGGCUAGAGUGGCAGAGAGGAAAGUGGAAUUCCCGGUGUAGUAGUGAAAUGCGUAGAUAUCGGGAGGAACACCAGUGGCGAAGGCGACUUUCUGGCUGCUAACUGACACUGAGACGCGAAAGCUAGGGGAGCGAACGG
rnacentral:rRNA from 1 species